CCUGUACGUUUCGACUUGACCUGUGAACUUAAAGGAGUUUUUUUUUCAUUUAUUAUUCAUCAAAAAUAUAUAAAACAAAUUUCAGCUGUAACGUGUGAUUAUUUGAAUGAGAUAAAGUUUAAAACUUGAUUUGAUGUAAGAAAGUCUCUUGAUAUCAACGCACAUUUACUUGAAAUUGAAUGCCCACAUCUCACAUUAAGAGCGCUACAUAAAACACGUAAAAAUGAAUUGUUUCAAUUGUAAAAUCAAAAAUUAGUGGCCGAUCAUUAGGUGUGAUAACAAUAGUUAGUCGUGAGUUUUGGAUUAGCACUAAUUUGUCUGCCGACAAACCUCAAAUGUAUAUUAGCCGGUGAUUUUUAUGCGAUCGACAUUUUGAGUUCAUUAGGUAAUAAAUUUGGUGUGUAGUGUCAUGUGGAUGUACAGAUUUCUAAAGGAAAAGCCGAGAUUUUUAUUAGCGUCUCUUAUUUUGUGGACCGUACUUUCAUGUCUGUGGAUUAUCCUCUUAAUUUUACUGAUGUUCCAGCGCAUCUUCAAAUUCAUAAAUGGUGUAAAUUUGGGUCGAGGCGAUUACGAUUUUGUAUACAUAAUAACACUAACAUUUGUUUUCUUUUACUUUGUCGCUGUGAUGAGUUACAUUUCUACAAAAAACGCUAUUCAAAAAUCGGAACAAUCCAAAGUGGAAGUAGCGAAUUCAAUAGAGAACGGCAACGAUCAAAAUGAAAUAGAAUGUAUAUAAAACAUUUGCCAAGCCAAUAUGUAAUAAUAUCAAAAAUGAUUUUUUAAAUUUCGAAAAACCGACUGAACGUUUGAGAUAACUCGUGAAAAAAAUCUGUGUGCAAAACAAUUUCAUUAUUAUAAGAAGUAUUUCGGGCACUGCUUUUUCACAAUCCAAACUG